AAUACAAAAGGCCUACAAUAUUUAAAAAAGAUAUAUAUAUCUGUACAAUACAUAUUUAUCAGCGCACAGAAUAAAAUAACAAUCUAAAAACUCCUUUCGUUUAAGUAUUCAUUUAUUGAGUAAUAGUUUUUUUCUAAUAGCCAUUUUGUUAUUCUCCUUUUGAAGGUAUAAUCUGUCAUUGUAUCAUUCCUGAGAUCAUUUGGUAAUUUAUUAUAAAUACUAAAUGCCAUGCAAAAGCAAUUAUUUUUGUAAAUUUUUAAUUUAUUAUGUGGCAAGCACAAUCUAUUUUUGUGUCUUGUUUGUCUACUCAGUGAUUCACCAUGUGUAGGGAAGUAGUAUUUAUUUUCGCGCACAAAUAUUGCCAUUUGUUUUAUGUACAUACCUGCUAAUACACUAAGCACGUGAUGUUUCCAGUUACAAUUUUUAUCAAUAAUAAAACCCAGAAAUUUUAUGUCAUUAACUACUUCAA